CACGUGCACGCAUGCGCAGACAUCCUCUGAAUCUUGGCGGUUUUGACCACUUUCAUCCUCUUAUUUUUCAUGGAAAACUUUUCGCGGUGCAUCAGCAAUUCGAGUUUACCUUCUGAAAAAUGGCAGAUCUGAAUAGUACCAGAAACUUCAAAUUUUUCUUCUGGUAAUUCUAGAAUUUCGGAGAGAUCCAGCAGAUGAUACCACCGCACAGGUUUUGAAUGGGCCAAUAUCAGAGGUAAAUUGGCGUUGAGG